UUUCGGCAAUGGGGGAAACCCUGACCGAGCAACGCCGCGUGAAGGAAGAAGGUUUUCGGAUUGUAAACUUCUGUUAUAAAGGAAGAACGGCGGCUACAGGAAAUGGUAGCCGAGUGACGGUACUUUAUUAGAAAGCCACGGCUAACUACGUGCCAGCAGCCGCGGUAAUACGUAGGUCCCGAGCGUUAUCCGGAAUUAUUGGGCGUAAAGAGGGAGCAGGCGGCAGCAAGGGUCUGUGGUGAAAGCCUGAAGCUUAACUUCAGUAAGCCAUAGAAACCAGGCAGCUAGAGUGCAGGAGAGGAUCGUGGAAUUCCAUGUGUAGCGGUGAAAUGCGUAGAUAUAUGGAGGAACACCGGUGGCGAAGGCGACGAUCUGGCCUGCAACUGACGCUCAGUCCCGAAAGCGUGGGGAGCAAAUAGGAUUAGAUACCCUAGUAGUCCACGCCGUAAACGAUGAGUACUAAGUGUUGGAUGUCAAAGUUCAGUGCUGCAGUUAACGCAAUAAGUACUCCGCCUGAGUAGUACGUUCGCAAGAAUGAAACUCAAAGGAAUUGACGGGGGCCCGCACAAGCGGUGGAGCAUGUGGUUUAAUUCGAAGCAACGCGAAGAACCUUACCAGGUCUUGACAUACUCAUAAAGGCUCCAGAGAUGGAGAGAUAGCUAUAUGAGAUACAGGUGGUGCAUGGUUGUCGUCAGCUCGUGUCGUGAGAUGUUGGGUUAAGUCCCGCAACGAGCGCAACCCUUAUCGUUAGUUACCAUCAUUAAGUUGGGGACUCUAGCGAGACUGCCAGUGACAAGCUGGAGGAAGGCGGGGAUGACGUCAAAUCAUCAUGCCCCUUAUGACCUGGGCUACACACGUGCUACAAUGGAUGGUGCAGAGGGAAGCGAAGCCGCGAGGUGAAGCAAAACCCAUAAAACCAUUCUCAGUUCGGAUUGUAGUCUGCAACUCGACUACA
rnacentral:rRNA from 1 species